GUGUUCGCUUCAGCAGCACACAUACUAAAAUUGGUACAGUAGAGAAAAGAUUAGGAUGGCUCUUUGCAAAGCUGACAUGCAAAUUUGUAAAGUUUUCCAUAUUUUU